rnacentral:lncRNA from 1 species
CCCCUUCCUCCUCCUCUGCUGGGGUGGACCAGCACCCCAGGGCCGAGGCGGGUGGGGCACCACCAUCCUAGAAGGCCUGCCCACCCCCCAGGCCACCCAGGAUGCGGCUGGUGGAGGCGGAGGCCGUGGGACCCGCUGCCUCUUGGCUAGUUUGCACGAUGGAGCUGGAGGAGCGCGAUGUGCUGGCCUGGGGCCGAGCUGCCCCAGGAGGGAUGAGCUGCUGUCCUGGACCCAGGGGUGAGGAGGACACACCCCCUGGCGGAAUGCACAGCUUGGCUGGGAGCAGACAUCCAGGUGACAAGGGGCGUAGCUCCCCCGUCUUCAGGGUUCACACCUCACCCAUGUCAAAGCUCAGCUCCAGCACACCUGCCGGGCUGGACACCGCGAGUCAAGGCCCUGGAAAGUGAGCCUUCCCAGUGGAGCUGCAAGCAAGGACCCAGCACACUCGCUCCUGAGUCUCCACCCGGGAGCAAUACGUGCCCCUGUCUGCACAAGGAGGCUCAGAGCGGCUUCACACGUCACAGCCCCAGCCGGGACGCACCCGCCCGCCCGCCAGCAGCCGACUGUCCAUGCGACGGAGUACGACUUGGCAAUGAAAAAGGACAACGAAAAAGCACAGAUACACACGCCAGCACUGAGGAAUCUCAAAAAAAAAAAAGACAUCAUGCUGCGCGAGGAAGGAAGCGGGA